UACGUAGGGUGCGAGCGUUAAUCGGAAUUACUGGGCGUAAAGCGUGCGCAGGCGGUGAUGUAAGACAGGUGUGAAAUCCCCGGGCUUAACCUGGGAACUGCAUUUGUGACUGCAUCGCUGGAGUGCGGCAGAGGGGGAUGGAAUUCCGCGUGUAGCAGUGAAAUGCGUAGAUAUCGGAAGGAACAUCAGUGGCGAAAGCGGCUUCCUGGACCAGCACCGACGUCAGGCACGAAAGCGUGGGGAGCAAACAGG
rnacentral:rRNA from 1 species